UAGGGAAUCUUCCACAAUGGGCGAAAGCCUGAUGGAGCAACGCCGCGUGAGUGAGGAAGGCUUUCGGGUCGUAAAGCUCUGUUGCCAGGGAAGAAUAAGGGCUAGUUAACUGCUAGCCUGAUGACGGUACCUGAGAAGAAAGCCCCGGCUAACUACGUGCCAGCAGCCGCGGUAAUACGUAGGGGGCAAGCGUUGUCCGGAUUUAUUGGGCGUAAAGCGCGCGCAGGCGGUUCUUUAAGUCUGGUGUCUAAGUGCGGGGCUCAACCCCGUGAUGCACUGGAAACUGGGGAACUUGAGUGCAGAAGAGGAGAGCGGAAUUCCACGUGUAGCGGUGAAAUGCGUAGAGAUGUGGAGGAACACCAGUGGCGAAGGCGGCUCUCUGGACUGUAACUGACGCUGAGGCGCGAAAGCGUGGGGAGCAAACA
rnacentral:rRNA from 1 species